GCUAAGGUGGCAGAGCCUGGUAAUUGCAAAAGGCCUAAGCCCUUUCUCUCGGAGGUUCAAAUCCUCCCCUUCAGCU
rnacentral:tRNA from 1 species